GACGAACGCUGGCGGCGUGCUUAACACAUGCAAGUCGAACGGAAAGGCCCUGCUUUUGUGGGGUGCUCGAGCGGCGAACGGGUGAGUAACACGUGAGUAACCUGCCCUUGACUUUGGGAUAACUUCAGGAAACUGGGGCUAAUACCGGAUAGGAGCUCCUGCUGCAUGGUGGGGGUUGGAAAGUUUCGGCGGUUGGGGAUGGACUCGCGGCUUAUCAGCUUGUUGGUGGGGUAGUGGCUUACCAAGGCUUUGACGGGUAGCCGGCCUGAGAGGGUGACCGGCCACAUUGGGACUGAGAUACGGCCCAGACUCCUACGGGAGGCAGCAGUGGGGAAUAUUGCACAAUGGGCGGAAGCCUGACGCAGCAACGCCGCGUGCGGGAUGACGGCCUUCGGGUUGUAAACCGCUUUCGCCUGUGACGAAGCGUGAGUGACGGUAAUGGGUAAAGAAGCACCGGCUAACUACGUG
rnacentral:rRNA from 1 species